GGGGACGUGGUGUACGGCGCACCGCUGCAUUGGAUAGUUCCGUCGAAACUUGCAUGAUGCAGCAGGCCGGGGUUCGACCCCCCGCGUCCCCA